CAGCAUUCUCCCCCCUCCCCCCUUUUUACCUCCGCUCCAUUCAGCAUCUUUCAGGAAAAAAAACUCACCCUAAGGCGGGUGUCGGCAGAGGCCAGGUUGCAGGCGAGGGUUUCAGCUCAAGUGCUGGCAUCCUCUGCCAACGGCUUGCGUGUUUUUUUCAACUAAAGCAACAGGAUUAAAUGCAUUUUACAUCGCAACUCAGGACACGUAUGCACACAGGAUGAAAAUGCGUCCUGCGUUGUUUUUCCUACUUUAUUCUAGACUUCUCCAACUCCCGUGUGGGUCCCGGCCCACCUUGCGUCAUGACAAUGUAUGUGUUCCUAAAGCGACGUGAACUCGCGCUCCCGCUCCGAGCCUGCUGGCCACUCGCUCUGUGGAUGCUCAGUUCCUCCCGCCAACGGGCUGUGCAGGAGCUGACUCUCCUGGAACUUGGGGCCAGUUCCCCCGCUAUUCCAAGUGAGCCCCGGGCAGCAGUGCAAGUGGACCUAAUGGCCGCCUGUGUCAAAGGAGGACACCACCGGGAAGAGGGCAGCCCGCGGGUGGAGACCCAGGGGAGGAGAAAAGCGUCUCCUCUCAGGAGACCCGGAGGAGAAACUGGUCCCCAGUCCUCAGCUUAGCAAAAGCUGGGGCCCCGCGGCGCUGCUGCGCCCUCUGCUGGCCCCGCGGCGCUGCUGCGCCCUCUGCUAGCCCUCGCGGCCGCCUCCCCCGCUGCUCCUACCGCCUCUCCACCACCAGGUCCUGCUGCUGGGCCCACUGACGCACAGAAUGCGUCUUCCGCCUCCAUCUGCCCAAGUGUAAUCUGUGAAUCUGCACGAUGACUGCGCAGCUACGUGAGGAGACGCGCCUGGUUUUAUUUCCAUCCGUAACCUGAGGCUGCAGGCGCCCGGAUGGCGGCGGGUUGCUGCAGGGCCUGGUCUCCCUUCGGGACUUGGCCCCCUGCAGCUCCGAGAGGGCAGCCCAGCGCUGGGCUGCGGCCCGCCGGCGGCGGGGUCUGCCCCUCCCGAAGGUGUGUCUGGUGACAGGAUCCAACAGGAAACAAUAAAAAUCUGCGUCGAAUAACGCAGGGCAGAGAGCAUGGCAGCUCCGGGCACGCCGACCCUACAGUCUUCCUUCCUGUCUCAGAAACAACACACGUUCCCCUGCGGACACAGCACAGACGAGUGGCCCACGAAGUGUUUUCUAGAGAUUUCCACCUGGGAAGGCAAAGUGCGAAAGGAAACCUCACUGCCCCCAGCUCCUCUGCAGCUUUAGGCGGCGCCGCUAGUGGGGCUCAGUGCGGGCGAAACGAGUUGGAUCCCCAGUGCCGAGCCCCUCUCCCGCCCGGUAGAAGCUCCCUUAACAAUAAUCUGCUAGGUGGUCACUUUCGGUGUCUCGCUUCUUAAAAAAGGAAAAAGAGAAGAGGAGGAGAUCUGUGUUUGGGGAAGCUGCGUGGCAGGCCAUGUGUGUCCUUGCAUCGCCCUCUGCACUGUUCUACAUGCACGAAGCACUUUAUUAUCCAAGCAUUUGGCUGGGCACAGAGUUUCCCUGGGGACAGUGACAGUUCUGGAGAUGGAGGGGGGAUGGUAGCACAGAACUGUGCCCUUAAAAACGGUGAAUUUCCAUGUAUAUUUUACCAUAAUAAAAAAAACUUGAAAUUGG